rnacentral:rRNA from 1 species
UACGGGGGGGGCAAGCGUUGUUCGGAAUCACUGGGCAUAAAGCGCGCGUAGGUGGCUUGGUAAGUCCAUGGUGAAAUCCCUCGGCUCAACCGAGGAACUGCCGUGGAUACUGCCGAGCUUGAGAACGGGAGGGGUAAGUGGAACUCUCGGGUGGUAGCGGUGAAAUGCGUAGAUAUCGAGAGGAACGCCGGUGGCGAAAGCGACUUACUGGACCGUUUCUGACACUGAUGCGCGAAAGCUAGGGGAGCAAACAGG